AUAUCAAUAAGCGGAGGAAAAGAAACUAACAAGGAUUCCCCUAGUAACUGCGAGUGAAGCGGGAAAAGCUCAAAUUUAAAAUCUGUCAGUCUUUGGCUGUCCGAGUUGUAAUCUAGAGAAGCGUUAUCCGCGCUGGACCGUGUACAAGUCUCCUGGAAUGGAGCGUCAUAGAGGGUGAGAAUCCCGUCUUUGACACGGACUGCCAGGGCUUUGUGAUGCGCUCUCAAAGAGUCGAGUUGUUUGGGAAUGCAGCUCAAAAUGGGUGGUAAAUUCCAUCUAAAGCUAAAUAUUGGCGAGAGACCGAUAGCGAACAAGUACCGUGAGGGAAAGAUGAAAAGAACUUUGGAAAGAGAGUUAAACAGUACGUGAAAUUGCUGAAAGGGAAACGCUUGAAGUCAGUCGCGUUGUCCAGGGAUCAACCUUGCUUUUGCUUGGUGUACUUUCUGGUUGACGGGUCAGCAUCAAUUUUGACUAUUGGAAAAAGACUAAGGGAAUGUGGCAUCUUUGGAUGUGUUAUAGCCCUUGGUUGCAUACAAUGGUUGGGRUUGAGGAACUCAGCACGCCGCAAGGCCGGGUUUUUAACCACGUACGUGCUUAGGAUGCUGGCAUAAUGGCUUUAAUCGACCCGUCUUGAAACACGGACCAAGGAGUCUAACAUGCCUGCGAGUGUUUGGGUGGAAAACCCGGGCGCGUAAUGAAAGUGAAAGUUGAGAUCCUUGUCAUGGGGAGCAUCGACGCCCGGACCAGACCUUUUGUGACGGUUCCGCGGUAGAGCAUGUAUGUUGGGACCCGAAAGAUGGUGAACUAUGCCUGAAUAGGGUGAAGCCAGAGGAAACUCUGGUGGAGGCUCGUAGCGAUUCUGACGUGCAAAUCGAUCGUCAAAUUUGGGUAUAGGGGCGAAAGACUAAUCGAACCAUCUAGUAGCUGGUUCCUG
rnacentral:rRNA from 1 species